AGCUUAAUAGCAGUGGCAGUAUCGUAGCCAAUGAGGUUAAUCCGAGGCGCGAUUAUUGCUAAUUGAAAACCUCUAUAACA
rnacentral:snRNA from 1 species